GACGAACGCUGGCGGCGUGCUUAACACAUGCAAGUCGAACGGAAAGGCCCUGCUUUUGUGGGGUGCUCGAGUGGCGAACGGGUGAGUAACACGUGAGUAACCUGCCCUUGACUUUGGGAUAACUUCAGGAAACUGGGGCUAAUACCGGAUAGGAGCUCCUGCUGCAUGGUGGGGGUUGGAAAGUUUCGGCGGUUGGGGAUGGACUCGCGGCUUAUCAGCUUGUUGGUGGGGUAGUGGCUUACCAAGGCUUUGACGGGUAGCCGGCCUGAGAGGGUGACCGGCCACAUUGGGACUGAGAUACGGCCCAGACUCCUACGGGAGACAGCAGUGGGGAAUAUUGCACAAUGGGCGGAGGCCUGAUGCAGCAACGCCGCGUGCGGGAUGACGGCCUUCGGGUUGUAAACCGCUUUCGCCUGUGACGAAGCGUGAGUGACGGUAAUGGGUAAAGAAGCACCGGCUAACUACGUG
rnacentral:rRNA from 1 species